UUUAUGGUCAAGCUACUAAGGGCGCAAGGUGGAUGCCUUGGUGCCAGGAGGCGAUGAAAGACGUGGUUAGCUGCGAUAAGCUUCGGGGAGCCGCUAAACAGGCUUAGAUCCGGGGAUUUCUGAAUGGGGGAACCCGGUCCGUGUCAUGACGGAUCAUCUGCAACUGAAUACAUAGGUUGCUGAAGCGAACGAGGGGAACUGAAACAUCUAAGUACCCUCAGGAAAAGAAAACGACAGUGAUUCUCUAAGUAGCGGCGAGCGAACGGGGAAGAGCCUAAACCGAUUGUGUGUGAUAGCCUGCAAGCGUUGCAUAGUCGGGGUUGCGGAGCUCCAUUAGAGAGGAUUGCAGUUCUCUCGGAAAGUUACAAAAUCUGUUUAUAGCUGAAUCUUCUGGAAAGGGGAGUCAUAGAGGGUGAUAAUCCCGUAAGCGAAAUGAACAGAUCUUUCUGGAUGGAGUUUCCAAGUACUGCGGGACACGAGAAAUCCCGCAGGAAACUAGGGGGACCAUCUCCUAAGGCUAAAUACUACCUGGCAACCGAUAGUGAACUAGUACCGUGAGGGAAAGGUGAAAAGCACUCCGAAAGGAGAAUGAAAUAGUACCUGAAACCGUGCGCCUACAAGGUGUGGAAGGACCAGGGAUGAAGCAAUUCAUCCGGUCUGACUGCGUGCCUUUUGUAUAAUGAGUCAGCGAGUUACUUCUACGUAGCGAGGUUAAGCCGUCAGGUGUAGCCGUAGCGAAAGCGAGUCUUAAUAGGGCGAAUUAGUUGCGUGGAGUAGACCCGAAACCAAGUGAUCUAUUCAUGGCCAGGGUGAAGCGCAUGUAACAGUGCGUGGAGGCCCGAACCGGUGUGGGUUGAAAACCGCUCGGAUGAGCUGUGAAUAGGGGUGAAAGGCCAAUCAAACUUGGAAAUAGCUGGUUCUCCCCGAAAUAUAUUUUGGUAUAGCCUCGCAACUUUAAGUAUCGGAGGUAGAGCACUGAAUGGGCUAGGGGUCUUACCGGACUACCAACCCCAACCAAACUCCGAAUGCCGAUAACUUCAAUUGCGGGAGUCAGACGGCGGGAGAUAAGUUCCGUCGUCGAAAGGGAAACAGCCCAGAUCGCCAGCUAAGGUCCCUAAUACAUGCUAAGUGGAAAAGGAUGUGGAAACGUAUAGACAGCCAGGAGGUUGGCUUAGAAGCAGCCACCCUUUAAAGAAAGCGUAAUAGCUCACUGGUCAAAUGAGUCUGCGCCGAAAAUUUAACGGGGCUCAAGCAUGUAACCGAAGCUGCGGACUUGCACCGUAAGGUGGGAGUGGUAGGGGAGCAUUCUAUCGUAGAGCGAAGCCGGAUCGUAAGGCCCGGUGGACGAAAUAGAAGAGAUUAUGCUGACAUAAGUAGCGAAAAAGUCUGUGAAAAACAGACUCGCCGAAAACCUAAGGUUUCCUGAGUAAAGUUAAUCUGCUCAGGGUUAGUCGAUCCCUAAGCCGAGGCCGACAGGCGUAGGUGAUGGGAAACAGGUUAAUAUUCCUGUACCACUGAAGAAGCGUUAUCAACAAUGGGGGGACGUAGAAGGGUAGACCAUCCGGGUGUUGGAUGUCCCGGUUCAAGCUUGUAGGAGGAGAUUCCAGGAAAAUCCGGAGUCUUAUUAAACUCUGAGAAGUGAUGAGGAGAGAUUUAUCUCGUAAACUGGUUGAUCCCAUGCUACCAAGAAAAGCCUCUAGUGAGUUUCUUCGGUGAUCGUACCGUAAACUGACACAGGUAGGUAAGGAGAAUAUCCUAAGGCGCUUGAGUAAUAUCUCGUUAAGGAACUCGGCAAAAUGACACCGUAACUUCGGAAGAAGGUGUGCCUCAUUAGCGUGAAGCGAUUAGCACGUGAAGCGCGAGGAGGUUGCAGUGAAACGGCCCAAGCGACUGUUUAGCAAAAACACAGGACUCUGCUAAGUCGUAAGACGAUGUAUAGGGUCUGACGCCUGCCCGGUGCCGGAAGGUUAAGGGGAUUUGUUAGGGGUAACCCGAAGCUUUGAACCGAAGCCCCGGUAAACGGCGGCCGUAACUAUAACGGUCCUAAGGUAGCGAAAUUCCUUGUCGGGUAAGUUCCGACCUGCACGAAUGGCGUAACGAUUUGGGCGCUGUCUUGACGAGAUGCUCAGCGAAUUUGAUAAACCGGUGAAGAAGCCGGUUACCCGCAACUAGACGGAAAGACCCCGUGCACCUUUACUAUAGCUUGACAAUGAACUUUGGGCUGGUUUGUGUAGGAUAGGUGGGAGGCUUUGAAGUGGGAGCGCUAGUUUCC
rnacentral:rRNA from 1 species